rnacentral:rRNA from 1 species
CGAGCGCAACCCUUGUCCUUAGUUACCAGCACGUUAUGUGGGCACUCUAAGGAGACUGCCGGUGACAACCGGAGGAAGGUGGGGAUGACGUCAAGUCAUCAUGGCCCUUACGGCCUGGGCUACACACGUGCUACAAUGGUCGGUACAAAGGGUUGCCAAGCCGCGAGGUGGAGCUAAUCCCAUAAAACCGAUCGUAGUCCGGAUCGCAGUCUGCAACUCGACUGCGUGAAGUCGGAAUCGCUAGUAAUCGUGAAUCAGAAUGUCACGGUGAAUACGUUCCCGGGCCUU